GAUGAAGAACGUAGUGAAAUGCGUUAAUUAAUGUGAAUUGCAGAAUUCAGUGAAUCAUCGAGUCUUUGAACGCACAUUGCGCCCCCUGGUAUUCCGGGGGGCAUGCCUGCCCGAGCGUCAUUGCUGCCCUCAAGCACGGCUUGUGUGUUGGGCUUCCGUCCCUGGCAACGGGGACGGGCCCAAAAGGCAGUGGCGGCACCAUGUCUGGUCCUCGAGCGUAUGGGGCUUUGUCACCCGCUCCCGUAGGUCCAGCUGGCAGCUAGCCUCGCAACCAAUCUUUUUAACCAGGUUGACCUCGGAUCAGGUAGGGAUACCCGCUGAACUUAAGCAUAUCAAUAGGAGGA
rnacentral:misc_RNA from 1 species